rnacentral:lncRNA from 1 species
UUUCUUCUCUCCCAUCCUCUCCUAUCUCUCUCUUCUUCCUCAGUUCGCAUGGGGCGGCAGUGUACACGGCCAGCCAGAGAGGGCGGCGGCGGGGCCUAGCCGGCCCGAGGUUGGCUGGAGUCGGUGCGAACGGCCGCGCCGCCUAGCCGGGCUGGCGCUGGAUGGAGUCGGCGCGAGCGGCGGUGUUGGCGCGCGGGAAUUUUUAUGUGCUUGCAUGUUUAUUCAGUUGUUAGUUGCAUUGGAUGUUUUCUGCCUGUAGAAUGGACUGGAAAAUAGGAGUUUGAUGCAGCCUACAUCUUUACCGUUUCUUUAGGUAGAAUUAGUGGCCGAGGUUGAGAUGCGAUUUCGCGUUGUAAUCAGUCCAUCAUGCAUGUAACAAACUCUAUGGAGUGGAGAGAAUAAAAGGAAGAAAAAUCUCGAAAAGCUGCUACCAAUUGAGCAGAGCCAACUCUCUGUUCGUUUUGCUCUGUUCUUUGUUUUACCGAGUUUUCGUUUCAUCAGUUGCUAUUUACAUCUGAAAACGUUCAGAGUUUCAGUUCUGUUGUACACAAAUU